GAUGAACGCUGGCGGCGUGCCUAACACAUGCCAGUCGAACGGACAGACCCUGCUUUUGUUGGUUUCUCGAGUGGCGAAGGGGUGAGUGACACGCGUGUAAACUGCCCCUGUCUUUCGGAUAUCUUCACGAGACUGGGGCUCAUAUCGGAUAGAAUCUCCUGCUGCGUGGUGGUGGUUGGAGAGAGUCGGCCGUUGUGGCUGGACUGGCGGCUUACCAGCUUGUUGGUGUGGUAGUGGCUUACCAAGGCUUUGACGGGUAGCCGGCCUGAGAGGGUGAACGGGGACAAUAGGACUGAGAGACGGCGCAGUCUCGUACGGGAGGCAGCAGUGGAGAAUAUUGCACAAUGGGCGGAAGCGUGUGACAGCAACGCUGCGAGCGGGAUGACCGCUUUUGGGUGGUAAACCGCUGUCGCCGGUGACGAAGCGGGAGUGACGGUAACUGGUAAAGAAGCACCGGCUAACUACGUG
rnacentral:rRNA from 1 species